UGUGGCUCAGUAGUAGAGCACUUGCCUAGCACGUAUGAGGCCCUGGGUUCAAUUCUCAGUA
rnacentral:tRNA from 1 species